GUGGUCCCACCUGACCCCAUGCCGAACUCAGAAGUGAAACGCCGUAGCGCCGAUGGUAGUGUGGGGUUUCCCCAUGCGAGAGUAGGGAACUGCCAGGC
rnacentral:rRNA from 1 species